rnacentral:rRNA from 1 species
GGAUGAACGCUGGCGGCGUGCCUACUCCAUGCAAGUCGAGCGAACAGACGAGGAGCUUGCUCCUCUGACGUUAGCGGCGGACGGGUGAGUAACACGUGGAUAACCUACCUAUAAGACUGGGAUAACUUCGGGAAACCGGAGCUAAUACCGGAUAAUAUAUUGAACCGCAUGGUUCAAUAGUGAAAGACGGUUUUGCUGUCACUUAUAGAUGGAUCCGCGCCGCAUUAGCUAGUUGGUAAGGUAACGGCUUACCAAGGCAACGAUGCGUAGCCGACCUGAGGGGGGGAUCGGCCAAACUGGAACUAGGAAACGGGCCCGACUCCUAGGGGGGGCAGCAGUGGGGAAACUUCCGCAAUGGGCGAAAGCCUGACGGAGCAACGCCGCGUGAGUGAUGAAGGUCUUCGGAUCGUAAAACUCUGUUAUUAAGGAAAAACAAAUGUGUAAGGAACUAUGCACGGCUUAACGGUACCUAAUCAGAAAGCCACGGCUAACUACGU